CAACCUGAGCUCAGUCGUGAUUACCCGCCGAACUUAAGCAUAUCAU
rnacentral:rRNA from 1 species